rnacentral:rRNA from 1 species
UAAACGAUGUCGACUAGUCGUUCGGAGAGGUAACUCACUGAGUGACGCAGCUAACGCGUGAAGUCGACCGCCUGGGGAGUACGGCCGCAAGGUUAAAACUCAAAGGAAUUGACGGGGACCCGCACAAGCGGUGGAUGAUGUGGAUUAAUUCGAUGCAACGCGAAAAACCUUACCUACCCUUGACAUGCCUGGAAUCCUUGAGAGAUCAGGGAGUGCCUUCGGGAACCAGGACACAGGUGCUGCAUGGCUGUCGUCAGCUCGUGUCGUGAGAUGUUGGGUUAAGUCCCGCAACGAGCGCAACCCUUGUCGCUAAUUGCCAUCAUUUAGUUGGGCACUUUAGCGAGACUGCCGGUGACAAACCGGAGGAAGGUGGGGAUGACGUCAAGUCCUCAUGGCCCUUA